UACGUAGGGGGCUAGCGUUGUCCGGAUUUAUUGGGCGUAAAGAGCGUGUAGGCGGCCAUGUAGGUCCGGUGUGAAAACUCGAGGCUUAACCUCGAGAUGUCAUCGGAAACCAUUUGGCUAGAGUCCGGAAGAGGAGAGUGGAAUUCCUGGUGUAGCGGUGAAAUGCGCAGAUAUCAGGAAGAACACCAAUGGCGAAGGCAGCUCUCUGGGACGGUACUGACGCUGAGACGCGAAAGCGUGGGGGAGCGAACAGG
rnacentral:rRNA from 1 species